AGGACGUGAUAAGCUGCGAAAAGCGGCGGGGAGAAGCAAAUAUUCUGCGAUCCGCCGAUAUCCGAAUGGGGAAACCCAUCCAUGAAAACCAUGGAUAUGUAUAAGUAAAUACAUAGCUUAUACAAGGGAACCCGGGGAACUGAAACAUCUAAGUACCCGGAGGAAGAGAAAGAAACAUCGAUUUCCUGAGUAGCGGCGAGCGAAAGGGAAAGAGCCUAAACCGAGAUGCGUGCAUUUCGGGGUAAUGGACUACAAUAAGUGAGCAAAAAGAUAGAAGAACAGGCAGGAAAGCCUGGCCGAAGAAAGUGAAAGCCUUGUAUUCGAAAUCUGAAUUGCAGCGAGUAGUAUCCGGAGUACUGCGGGACACGAGAAACCCUGCAGGAAGUCGGGGGGACCACCCCCCAAGGCUAAAUACUAACCAGUGACCGAUAGCGUAUAGUACUGUGAAGGAAAGGUGAAAAGAACCCUGGGAAGGGAGUGAAAGAGAACCUGAAACCAUGUGUUUACAAACUGUGGAAGAACUAUUAAAAGUUCAACCGCGUACUUUUUGUAGAACGGUCCGGCGAGUCACGCCGGCUGGCAAGGUUAAGGACUAAAGGUCCGGAGCCGAAGG
rnacentral:ncRNA from 1 species